rnacentral:rRNA from 1 species
ACCAAACUUGAUCAUUUAGAGGAAGUAAAAGUCGUAACAAGGUUUUCGUAGGUGAACCUGCGAAAGGAUCAUUA